ensembl:Mt_tRNA
GAGGUCUUAGCUUAAUUAAAGUGUCUGGUUUGCAUUCAGAAGAUACAGGUUAGUGCCCUGUAGAUCUUA